rnacentral:lncRNA from 1 species
UCAGUGUUUGCUUUGUAGCAGACUCUACAGCCUUGGAACAUGCAAUAAGAAAUCAUUUUCUCCUCUAGAGCUUUUGUAGUUCUGAAAAUGACUUCCCAUCAGUUAAAAAAAAAAAAAAAAACUUUGCCUCUCUUCAGUGCAUCUCCGCAAGAGCAGCUGAGGUAAUGAGUGCUCCUUGCUUGCAGCUAUCUUUCCAAAGGCAGCCACCAAAAUAAGGGAAAGCAUUCAUCAGUGAAACUACAAGAGCCUAGCAUGGUUGCCAUCUGAAAGGCUCUACCAGCAGCUGACUGAGACAGAUACAGAUACUACAGCCAACCACUGGACUGAAGUCGGGAACACCUAUGGAAGAGUCAGGAGAAGGAUUGAAGGAGCUGGCAGGGAUGGCAACCCCAUGGGAAGACGAACAGUAUCAACUAACCUGGACCCCUCAGAACCCCCAGAGCCUGAGUCACCAACCAGACAGCAUAUGUGGACUGGUUGGUGCCACCCCACACAUAUGUAACAGAAGACUGCCUUGUCUGGCUUUAGUGGGAGAUGAUGCACUUAAUCCUGUAAAGACUUGAUUCUCCAGGGAAGAAGGAUGCUGAGGGGGCAGGCAGCACUCUCAG